rnacentral:tRNA from 2 species
UGGGGCGGCGAUCAGGGUAAUUGGUCUUUGCUCCCUCAUCCUUGCAUGGGGUGCAAGGGGUCGAGUGUUCGAAUCACUCCGUCCCGACCA